rfam:Apaloderma vittatum contig47060, whole genome shotgun sequence.
GGCCGGUUAGUUCAGUCGGUUGAGCGCGGUGCUGAAAACACCGAGGUCACGGGUUCGAUUCCCGUUCAGUCCC